UUUUUUAGAGCUAAAACCCUCAAAAGCGUCAUCAUAUCGAAUAUAGUGAAACGUGUCACCCAACUAUCAAUUACAUAACCCGCUGAAAUUAAAAUUUCACCCAAAUUAAAAUUCUAAUAUCCCAGGAUAGUGGGAUACUGUACCCACGUCCUCACUAUCAGCUCCAACAUAGCCACCUUUUGCUCGCUGCUCUGAAUUUUGCCUAAAAACUUUGAAUCUUCAAAAAAAAAAAAAAAAAAAAAAAAAAAAAAAAAAAAAACAAAUCCCUAAUUCAAUUCCUUGAUUUCGGUUAGCAUAUAAUCAUCUCAACCCACUUCUUACUUACCUCUUUAAUUUUUUUAAUUUGUAUAUUUGAAGCGUAUGAUGUGAAUUUCAGAUUGAUUUAAUACUCUUCAUAAUUUGCCAAAAAGGUUCUCUUAAUUGAGUUUUGUGGUUAAUUUGUAUUGUGAAUUUGGAUUCAUCGUUGCUAUUGUUUGUUGGAAUUAUCAAGAUUCAGCCAAAAGAUCUCUUUCAGAUCACUUCUUGGUUCCUCCCUUUGCCAAGCAUAUCUAUGAUGAAGAUUUGGGAGUCUCUUCUUCUUCUGGAUAGCUUCUUGCUAGGUUGGAAUUCGCUGUUGUGGAUGUCUGCUUUUGUUGCUAGUACUAAUGAUAGGGUUGAUAUUAGCCUAGUUGUUUUGUUUAGCUUUAAUUACUAUCUAGAUUUCUAUUUCUGUUUGUAUUAUAAUUAUGAUAGUAGAAAGUUCUACAGUACCUAUCCCUAUGAUGGUGCUGAUAGUCAGAUUUGUACUAAGUUACAAUACCAAUUUUCCUUUCCUAGCUAUGUAUUUUGGUUUGUUGUUGAUUUGGCUGGGAGGAAAAUGGCUUUUGUUGUAAGAGAUACUUUUAAGGCUUUAAGCCAGUAAUAUAAGUUCUUCGUUCUGUGUUAAAAAAAAAAAAA